CCAGACUCCUACGGGAGGCAGCAGUGAGGAAUAUUGGUCAAUGGGCGGGAGCCUGAACCAGCCAAGUCGCGUGAGGGAAGACGGUCCUACGGAUUGUAAACCUCUUUUGCCGGGGAGCAACGGGGUCCUUGCGAGGGCCCGAUGAGAGUACCCGGAGAAAAAGCAUCGGCUAACUCCGUGCCAGCAGCCGCGGUAAUACGGAGGAUGCGAGCGUUAUCCGGAUUUAUUGGGUUUAAAGGGUGCGUAGGCGGGCUGUUAGGUCAGCGGUAAAAUGUCGGGGCUCAACCCCGGCCUGCCGUUGAAACUGGCGGCCUCGAGUGGGCGAGAAGUAUGCGGAAUGCGUGGUGUAGCGGUGAAAUGCAUAGAGAUCUGGAGGAAUACCGGUGGCGAAGGCGGCCCCCUGGACGAAGACUGACGCUCAGGUGCGAAAGCGUGGGGAGCAAACAGGAUUAGAUACCCCCGUAAA
rnacentral:rRNA from 1 species